GCAGGAAUAAACUGAAUGUUUGCCAGCAGGAGUCACUCUAGGCCUCCUAAUAAAAAGUAAAUUAAACUAUAUCUGUAAAGCUCUCAAAGGCUGAGGUAACACUGCAUGUGUAAGAUGGCAUGAGGGCAGCAUUCUCAAAUUAUCCUUGUGCCUUUCUUUGUUCCGUCUAGGAAGACUUGGUUUUUGCUUCUUUCAAAAUUGGCCCUUGAUAACUUGUUUUAAAGCAGAGUGUAUAAUAUAGGUCAGGAUAUGGGUCCCAUAGUCGAUAUUAGCUUGGUUUGGCUUUCUUGGAUGGAUUGAUUGUAUCCCACAUCAUCUACUUGAAUGAAUGCUCACAUCCUUCUCCUGGUUGUGCCUCUCAGUCUUGCAGCAGAAGUCACUGGUGUGAACUGUAGUUGGUGUGAAAGGAGAUGUUAACUCGUGGUUUUCUGCAAAAGAAUGGGUCCAGUGUAAUGGGAAACUGAAAUAUGUUAGCAAUAGCUGUGAAAUAUAAUAGUUUCCCAAGUGCACACAAGCUCAAGAAGUUAAUUGUUCAUUUAUGUUUGAUACUGGGAUUGAAACAUUGGAUUAAAACC
rnacentral:lncRNA from 1 species